rnacentral:rRNA from 1 species
UAUAAGAGGUCCAGCCUGCCCAGUGACCGCAAGUUAAACGGCCGCGGUAUUUUGACCGUGCAAAGGUAGCGCAAUCACUUGUCUUUUAAAUAAAGACCUGUAUGAAUGGCUAAACGAGGGCUUAACUGUCUCCCAUUUCAAGUCAGUGAAAUUGAUCUAUCCGUGCAGAAGCGGGUAUAAUAAUACAAGACGAGAAGACCCUUUGGAGCUUAAGGCGUAAAACUCAACCACGUUAAGCAACUCAAUAAAAAGCAAAUUUAAACUUUGUGGUAAAUGAGACCACUGCCUUCGGUUGGGGCGACCACGGAGAAAAAGAAAGCCUCCAAGUGGAAUGGGGAAGUAUCCCUAAAACCAAGAGAGACAUCUCUAAGCUACAGAACAUCUGACCAUAAAUGAUCCGGCCAACCAAUGACCGAUCAACGAACCAAGUUACCCUAGGGAUAACAGCGCAAUCCUCUCCCAGAGUCCAUAUCGACGAGGGGGUUUACGACCUCGAUGUUGGAUCAGGACAUCCUAAUGGUGCAGCCGCUAUUAAGGGUUCGUUUGUUCAACGAUUAAAGUCCUACGUGA